CUCCAGUUAGCCUAGUGGUUAAGGCUUUGGAUCGCACAUCCGGAGACGGCGGGUUCGAUUCCCGUUCUGGUUG
rnacentral:tRNA from 1 species